rnacentral:rRNA from 1 species
UAAGCGGAGGAAAAGAAACCAACAGGGAUUGCCUUAGUAACGGCGAGUGAAGCGGCAAUAGCUCAAAUUUGAAAUCUGGCUCUUUCAGAGUCCGAGUUGUAAUUUGUAGAGGAUGUUUCGGACAAAGCUUAGGUCUAAGUUCCUUGGAACAGGACGUCAUAGAGGGUGAGAAUCCCGUCUAGGGCUUUAUGCUGCGUCUAUGUGAAACUCCUUCGACGAGUCGAGUUGUUUGGGAAUGCAGCUCAAAAUGGGAGGUAAAUUUCUUCUAAAGCUAAAUAUUGGCCAGAGACCGAUAGCGCACAAGUAGAGUGAUCGAAAGAUGAAAAGCACUUUGAAAAGAGAGUUAAACAGUAUGUGAAAUUGUUGAAAGGGAAGCGCUUGCAACCAGACUUGUUUCUAACGGUUCAACCACUGUUCUCAGUGGCCCAUUCCGUUAGUUCAGGCCAGCAUCAGUUUGGGUGGUUAGUUAAAGGCCUUGGGAAUGUAUCUACAGCUUCGGUUGUAGACUUAUAGCCCUCGGUGUAAUGUGACCUACCUAGACUGAGGAACGCGCAUCUGCUCGGAUGCUGGCGUAAUGGUUGUAAGCGACCCGUCUUGAAACACGGACCAAGGAGUCUAACAUCUAUGCGAGUGUUAGGGUGUCAAACCCUUACGCGUAAUGAAAGUGAACGGAGGUAGGAACCCGUAAGGGUGCACUAUCGACCGAUCCUGAUGUCUUCGGAUGGAUUUGAGUAAGAGCAUAGCUGUUGGGACCCGAAAGAUGGUGAACUAUGCCUGAAUAGGGUGAAGCCAGAGGAAACUCUGGUGGAGGCUCGCAGCGGUUCUGACGUGCAAAUCGAUCGUCAAAUUUGGGUAUAGGGGCGAAAGACUAAUCGAACCAUCUGGUAGCUGG